rnacentral:tRNA from 1 species
ACCAGGAUGGCCGAGUGGUUAAGGCGUUGGACUUAAGAUCCAAUGGACUGAUGUCCACGUGGUUCAAACCCCACUCCUGGUA